rnacentral:rRNA from 1 species
UGGCCAGACUCCUACGGGAGGCAGCAGUGGGGAAUAUUGGGCAAUGGGCGCAAGCCUGACCCAGCAACGCCGCGUGAAGGAAGAAGGCUUUCGGGUUGUAAACUUCUUUUCUCAGGGACGAAGCAAGUGACGGUACCUGAGGAAUAAGCCACGGCUAACUACGUGCCAGCAGCCGCGGUAAUACGUAUGGUGCAAGCGUUAUCCGGAUUUAUUGGGUUUAAAGGGGGCGCAGGCGGCCUGUUAAGUCAGCGGGAAAAAGCCCGGGGCCCACCCCCGGCGAGCCGUUGAAACUGGCGGGCUGGAGUUGGAGAGAAGUACGCGGAAUGCGCGGUGUAGCGGUGAAAUGCUUAGAUAUCGCGCAGAACCCCGAUUGCGAAGGCAGCGUACCGGCUCCACACUGACGCUGAGGCACGAAAGCGUGGGUAUCGAACAGGAUUAGAUACCCCGGUA